AGGACGAACGCUGGCGGCGCGCUUAACACAUGCAAGUCGAGCGAGAACCGAAGCCUUCGGGCAUCGGGGAAAGCGGCGAACGGGUGAGUAACACGUGGGCAACCCACCCUUGGUACCGGGAUAGCCCGGGGAAACCCGGAUUAAUACCGGAUGGCCCAGCAGCCUUUCGGGGCGGCUGGAAAAGGGAGCUUCGGCCUCCGACCAAGGACGGGCCCGCGGCGGAUUAGCUUGUUGGUGGGGUAACGGCCUACCAAGGCGACGAUCCGUAGCUGGUCUGAGAGGACGAUCAGCCACACUGGGACUGAGACACGGCCCAGACUCCUACGGGAGGCAGCAGUGGGGAAUCUUGCGCAAUGGGCGAAAGCCUGACGCAGCGACGCCGCGUGGGGGAAGAAGGCUUUCGGGUUGUAAACCCCUUUCAGGAAGGACGAAGCUCCUCGGGUGAAUAGCCCAGAGGGUGACGGGUACUUCCAGAAGAAGCCCCGGCUAACUACGCGCCAGCAGCCGC
rnacentral:rRNA from 1 species